UACGUAGGGCGCAAGCGUUGUUCGGAAUUACUGGGCGUAAAGGGCUCGUAGGCGGCCAACUAAGUCAUACGUGAAAUCCCUCGGCUUAACCGGGGAACUGCGUCUGAUACUGGAUGGCUUGAGUGCGGGAGAGGGAUGUGGAAUUCCAGGUGUAGCGGUGAAAUGCGUAGAUAUCUGGAGGAACACCGGUGGCGAAGGCGGCAUCCUGGACCGACACUGACGCUGAGGCGCGAAAGCUAGGGUAGCAAACGGG
rnacentral:rRNA from 1 species